rnacentral:lncRNA from 1 species
CUUUUCUUUAUAGGUUCCAAUUCCUAUUCCUUUGCCUUUUCCUUUUGAUCCAAAUCAGGUCCUGACACUUAAUGAUCUUAUAACGUUAAUCACUUCUAUUUUGAACCAACUCGGGGUAAGUUCAUAUAAAUUUUUAAGCCAGUGUAAAUUACAAGCCUAUUUAAUGGACUGAAGAUAGUAUCUUUUUUUUUUUUUUAGGGUUUCUUUGGGGUAAGACUUUAUUUCUAUGAUUUUACUGAUAAAAGUAAGUGACAUUUAAUCUCAAGAAAGGUAAGAAUA